rnacentral:rRNA from 1 species
GCGAAGAACCUUACCUACUCUUGACAUCCAGAGAACUUUCCAGAGAUGGAUUGGUGCCUUCGGGAACUCUGAGACAGGUGCUGCAUGGCUGUCGUCAGCUCGUGUUGUGAAAUGUUGGGUUAAGUCCCGCAACGAGCGCAACCCUUAUCCUUGUUUGCCAGCACUUCGGGUGGGAACUCCAGGGAGACUGCCGGUGAUAAACCGGAGGAAGGUGGGGACGACGUCAAGUCAUCAUGGCCCUUACGAGUAGGGCUACACACGUGCUACAAUGGCGCAUACAGAGGGCGGCCAACUUGCGAGAGUGAGCGAAUCCCAAAAAGUGCGUCGUAGUCCGGAUCGGAGUCUGCAACUCGACUCCGUGAAGUCGGAAUC